CCUACGGGAGGCAGCAGUGGGGAAUAUUGCACAAUGGGGGGAACCCUGAUGCAGCAACGCCGCGUGGGUGAAGAAGUACUCCGGUAUGUAAAGCCCUGUCAGCAGGGAAGAAAAUGACGGUACCUGACCAAGAAGCCCCGGCUAACUACGUGCCAGCAGCCGCGGUAAUACGUAGGGGGCAAGCGUUAUCCGGAUUUACUGGGUGUAAAGGGAGCGUAGACGGCGAUGCAAGUCUGAAGUGAAAGGCGGGGGCCCAACCCCUGGACUGCUUUGGAAACUGUAUGGCUGGAGUGCAGGAGAGGUAAGUGGAAUUCCUAGUGUAGCGGUGAAAUGCGUAGAUAUUAGGAGGAACACCAGUGGCGAAGGCGGCUUACUGGACUGUAACUGACGUUGAGGCUCGAAAGCGUGGGGAGCAAACAGGAUUAGAUACCCUUGUAGUC
rnacentral:rRNA from 1 species